rnacentral:rRNA from 1 species
UGCAUGGUGCCGACCUUGAAAGACCUCCCUUUAAUGUUUGAUGUUCUUACGUGGUCCCGUAAUCCGGGUUGCGGACAGUGUCUGGUGGGUAGUUUGACUGGGGCGGUCUCCUCCUAAAGAGUUACGGAGGAGCACGAAGGUUGGCUAAUCCUGGUCGGACAUCAGGAGGUUAGUGCAAUGGCUUAAGCCAGCUUGACUGCGAGCGUGACGGCGCGAGCAGGUGCGAAAGCAGGUCAUAG